UAGGUUUUAACAGUUGAGUCCAAUUGAGGAUAUGAAAUUAUAUUGAAACUGAACUAUUGAUUUGCUGUUUCAAUUAGUUAUUUCAUACUGUUUCCAGUUUGUCAUAACAUUUUAACAAGGAUGUGUCUGUCCAAUCUAUUUCUUCACCUGUUUUUAGAGUUCAUUGAUGUAAUUCCUGAGUUUGUUUCUUUUUGCUUUCUGGUUAUUACCAUGGCUAAAGCUAACCUAAAAUGCCUAUGUCAUUUUUGUUAUGCCUUGUUCAGAUACCAAAAACUGCGGAAGGGUAAACUAGAAGAAGGUGAAACGGCAGGGUUAUCCCCAACUAAUCCUGCAGCAAAGUAUGUCAUCCUUGAGGAGAUGGAGGAUCAAGAUGAUGUCCCUUGAGAGCUUUAGAGAUCAGAUAAUACCCAUCCAAUGAACCGAGUUUUACUGGAGAUGCAGCUCUCAGUCUUCUAUUACUUUGCUUGUCGAGAACUGCAAUUGUAGUUUACCUCCAUAAAGUUGGUGGCGAAACAGUAAGGUUUCCUAAAUUAGUAGAAGCCACAAACAAUUUUUUGACAUUUUGCUGUUCAUAUUAAGCGGAAAACAGGCUUGUAUGAAACAUUUCAUCAAGUUUUCAGUAGGGGGAUCGAUUUUUCAUAAAUACACGAUUCCCCAUGCCUAGUGUAAUGUCAAUUCAAUUGUCAUUAUUUUCAAAUGACAUUCUUAAGUAUGGUGGAUAAAAAUUGCUAUGGUAAGCCAUAGUAGAUCAGGUUGUAGAUUAUAAUUCAAGAUAUUUUACUUUUGACCGAAUUGAAAUCCCAUCACGCUAGAUGUUUUUUGUUGUUGCACUGAAUGUAAAUAACUAUGAGUGUAAUAUCAUGAAA